rnacentral:rRNA from 1 species
UACGAAGGGGGCUAGCGUUGCUCGGAAUCACUGGGCGUAAAGGGUGCGUAGGCGGGUUUUUAAGUCAGGGGUGAAAUCCUGGAGCUCAACUCCAGAACUGCCUUUGAUACUGAAGAUCUUGAGUCCGGGAGAGGUGAGUGGAACUGCGAGUGUAGAGGUGAAAUUCGUAGAUAUUCGCAAGAACACCAGUGGCGAAGGCGGCUCGCUGGCCCGGUACUGACGCUGAGGCACGAAAGCGUGGGGAGCGAACAGG